UAUGUUAAUAUAACAAUUAGUAGGAGUGUAACAUAUAAUAUUUAUUAGUAGUAGUAAAGAAAAUUCGGUAAUGAUGGUGUAUUAAUUUCUUAUAGUUUGUAAUAUGUGUGUACGACUUAAGAAUAGAAGAGUAAAAAUGUUUAUGAUAGUUUUUUCUGUUUUGAUCAGAAUAUCCUAUUAUAUACAUAAUCCACUAUAUUAUAUUUUAUUAAAUAUAAAUAGUAGGAGAUAUCUCUUCUGACCUCAUUUAAAAUCGUUUAUGACAUUGAACAUAGCAUUAGAAAAAGAAAACAGCAAGUUUAUUUUUCUUUUGCAACAUAUGUACUAAUAUGGUCUGGUGUAUAUGAAAGUCACAAGUAGUUGGUUAACUAAAGGGAUGGAGGAUAUAUAUUGGAGUAUAAUAAUAGUGAGAUUAUUUAUGCAUAUAUAUAUGUGUGCGGAUGGUACUAUGGCGGGAUCUAAUUGGUACUAAAAAUAAUCAUGAAAAAGACUACGUUAUAUAUAAUAUCAUUGUCAUUUUUUUUUUUGGCAAUGGUAUUAUAUAUAAAAGGAACCUUAUAUAUGUAUUUGUUAAAGAUGCAUAUAUGAGGUGGGGAAAUACAAGCACGUGGGAUUUUGAAUAGGUGCAUGGGUGAGUAGAUGGAUGAAUGGGUGGGGGGUACUAGGGUACAUUGAGGUACAUGUUUGCAGGAACAUGGGGGAUAUGCCCAUGGUCACAGGCAGAGGCGCAUGGGCACCGACAUUGAUACAGACACUUACAAUAGGACAACAACUGAUGCAGACACUUACAAUAGGGCAACAACUGAUGCAGACAGUUACAAUAGGGCAAGAACUAAUGCAGACAGUUACAAUAGGGCAAGAACUGAUGCAGACAGUUACAAUAGUGCAAAAACUGAUACAGAAAACGGCACAGGAGCAGCCAAUAAUUAUGCACUUAGGAAAAUACAGAAAAAUAUUUAAAAUUUCUAGAGUACGUUUUUAAUCAGUUGGUACUUUAGAAAUAUGUCCUUCUAUGUGUAAGGAAUAAGUUGUAAUUUUAAUUAUAACUUAUUUGUGUUUUAUUAUAUGGAAACAUAUAAUAAUGAAUUGUAAAUGUAUUAUUUGUUUGUUAAUUUUACAUGUUCGCAAUAUAUUGGAAAGGAAUAAACUGCGUUUUUUUUUUUUUUUUUUUUGUGUAUGUAGUUAAUUAUUUGAAUUUUCUACAUAUAAAUAUAUAUAUAUAUAUAUAAUAUGUAUAUUUUACUAUUAAGUGUAUAAUAUGACAUAUUAUUUCUAAGUUUUGUCUUAGAUACCAUUUUUUUUUACUUUACAUUUAGGUGUCAAAGAUUAUUCAAAAGAAUUUAACUAUAAUUUAUCGUAAUUAUAGUUAAUUCUUUUGAUCUUGGAGUCUUCAGAACGUGGAUGGAUUAUAACAUUCUUUAUGUUAUACGAAGACCGGAUUACCCAUAUCGAAGACUGGAACCCAUAUCGAAGACGGGAUUCCGUAAUCGACGGGAUAUCUUAAUAAUCCGCAUCUAUGAAGGUAAUGUAGGUAGAACAUUAUAUAAUUGUUAUUAUAAUAAUGAAAAAAAAAAAUAAAAGAAAAAAUGAAAAAAUGGAAAAAAUAAAAGAAAAAAUGAAAAAAAUAAAAGAAAAAAUGAAAAAAAUAAAAGAAAAAAUGAAAAAAAUAAAAGAAAAAAUAAAAGAAAAAAUGAAAAAAAAAAUGAAAAAAAUAAAAGAAAAAAAUAAAAGAAAAAAUGAAAAAAAUAAAAGAAAAAAUAAAAGAAAAAAAUAAAAGAAAAAAUGAAAAAAAUAAAAGAAAAAAUAAAAGAAAAGAAAUAAAAGAAAAGAAAUAAAAGGAAAAAUAAAAGAAAGAAAUAAAAGAAAAAAAUAAAAGAAAAAAAUAAAAGAAAAAAAUAAAAAAAAAAAAAAAAAAAAAAAAAUAAAAAAAAAAAAUAAAAAAAAAAAUAAAAAAAAAAAAUAAAAAAAAAAAAAAAAAAAAAAUAAAAAAAAAAAUAAAAGAAACUUAUAUAUGUGUAUACAUAAAUUUUAAUUUAUGAUAUACCUUUUCAUAUACAUAAAUUAUGCUCUUCUUAUACUUUUUAUUUAUCCUUGUGUUACAGUGUUGCAUAUACAAAAAAAAAUCAUUUGCCUAAUGUAAAGAGGUGAAUGGAUGUGUUCUAUGUUUGAUUAUAUUGUAUUUUAAUUUAAGUAUAUAAUUAAAAUAUAAUAUAUAAUGUAUGUUAAUAUGAAAUGUAGUAUAAAUAGUGAUUGUAUAAUUUUAUAUUAUGUUGUGUUUAUUUAUUGUUGAAAAUUAAAAGAAAUAUAUAUAUGUUUGUCUAAAUAAAUAAUUUAUUGUUACAUGAAUGAAUAUAUCUUUAUUAAUAUAGUAAAAUAUAUAAUUAAUAAUUACUUGAAAAUAAAUAUUUUGUUAAUAAGUCGUGAGUUUAUAAUUAAAUGUGUGUUACAUGAAUAAAUAUUUUGUUAAUAAGUUUUAAGUUUAUAAUUAAAUGUGUGUUACAUGAAAAUAAAUAUUUCGUUAAUAAGUCGUGAGUUUAUAAUUAAAUGUGUGUGUUACAUGAAAAUAAAUAUUUUGUUAAUAAGUCGUAAGUUUAUAAUUAAAUGUGUGUUACAUGAAAAUAAAUAUUUUGUUAAUAAGUUUUAAGUUUAUAAUUAAAUGUGUGUUACAUGAAAAUAAAUAUUUUGUUAAUAAGUUUUAAGUUUAUAAUUAAAUGUGUGUUACAUGAAAAUAAAUAUUUCGUUAAUAAGUCGUAAGUUUAUAAUUAAAUGUGUGUUACAUGAAAAUAAAUAUUUCGUUAAUAAGUCGUAAGUUUAUAAUCAAAUGUGUGUGUUACAUGAAUAAAUAUUUUGUUAAUAAGACUUAAAUUUAUAAUUAAAUGUGUGUGUUACAUGAAUAAAUAUUUUGUUAAUAAGACUUAAAUUUAUAAUUAAAUGUGUGUGUUACAUGAAUAAAUAUUUUGUUAAUAAGACUUAAAUUUAUAAUUAAAUGUGUGUGUUACAUGAAUAAAUAUGUGCAGCUAUAGAAGUAAAAAUCACGCUAUAUUAUUAUAUUAAUAAUGAUAUAUUGAAGAUUAAAUGAAGAUAUUGCGGAGGAAUAAUGACAAGACAAAUAAAUAAAUGUAUAUAUUACCAUAUAUAUAUGUGAAGACAUAGAUAUUGAUAUAUAUUGAAGAAGGAUAGAUUUUUGAACAAAUGAAAAUCUAUGAAGAAAUAUAUUUGUGUAUAUAAACCUUGGAGUAUAAUAUAUAUUCUAUUGGUACAUGAA
rnacentral:sRNA from 1 species